rnacentral:tRNA from 1 species
GGCUCUGUGGUGCAAUGGACAGCGCAUUGGACUUCUGGGACAGAAGAAGGCAUUUAAAGGUUGAGGGUUCGAGUCCCACCAGAGUCA